UAAAGGGCAUCUAGGCGGCCAGAUAAGUCUGGGGUGAAAACUUGCGGCUCAACCGCAAGCCUGCCCUGGAAACUAUGUGGCUAGAGUACUGGAGAGGUGGACGGAACUGCACGAGUAGAGGUGAAAUUCGUAGAUAUGUGCAGGAAUGCCGAUGAUGAAGAUAGUUCACUGGACGGUAACUGACGCUGAAGUGCGAAAGCUAGGGGAGCAAACAGGAUUAGAUACCCUGGUAGUCCUAGCUGUAAACGAUGAUUACUGGGUGUGGGCAUGAAGAGUGUCCGUGCCGAAGCUAAUGCGAUAAGUAAUCCGCCUGGGGAGUACGGCCGCAAGGCUGAAACUCAAAGGAAUUGACGGGGACCCGCACAAGCGGUGGAGCAUGUGGUUUAAUUCGACGCAACGCGAGGAACCUUACCAGAUCUUGACAUCCUGCGAAGGCCUGCGAGAGCAGGCUGUGCCUCCGGGAACGCAGAGACAGGUGGUGCAUGGCUGUCGUCAGCUCGUGUCGUGA
rnacentral:rRNA from 1 species